UCCUCGAGUAUUGCCAUAAUCCAUUCC
rnacentral:piRNA from 1 species